rnacentral:rRNA from 1 species
CCCUGCCAUUUGUACACACCGCCCGUCGCUCCUACCAAUUGGCAUAAACGGUGAAAAGAUCGGAGAUAACUUUCGUUGGGGGUAAAAGCCCAUGGAAGAUUUUAAAGUUCUUUAAAUCUCUUGUGCUA